ACAUCCAGAGAACUUUAGCAGAGAUGCUUUGGUGCCUUUCGGGAACUCUGAGACAGGUGCUGCAUGGCUGUCGUCAGCUCGUGUUGUGAAAUGUUGGGUUUAAGUCCCCGNAACGAGCGCAACCCUUUAUCCUUUGUUGCCAGCGGUUCGGCCGGGAACUCAAAGGAGACUGCCGGUGAUAAACCGGAGGAAGGUGGGGAUGACGUCAAGUCAUCAUGGCCCUUACGGCCAGGGCUACACACGUGCUACAAUGGCGCAUACAAAGAGAAGCGACCUCGCGAGAGCAAGCGGACCUCAUAAAGUGCGUCGUAGUCCGGAUUGGAGUCUGCAACUCGACUCCAUGAAGUCGGAAUCGCUAGUAAUCGUAGAUCAGAAUGCUACGGUGAAUACGUUCCCGGGCCUUGUACACACCGCCCGUCACACCAUGGGAGUGGGUUGCAAAAGAAGUAGGUAGCUUAACCUUCGGGAGGGCGCUUACCACUUUGUGAUUCAUGACUGGGGUGAAGUCGUAACAAGGUAAGCGUAGCGAG
rnacentral:rRNA from 1 species